rnacentral:tmRNA from 1 species
GGGGGUGACUUGGAUUCGACGAAGUGUCGGAAUUUGAUUGUCGCAUUUCGUGCUCUACUGGUGACGCACGUUAAUACAACCGGUAAAACAACAAAUGCAGAAGAUAAUUUUGCAAUGGCUGCCUAAGUAAAUAUUACUUACGCGUCCCAUCUUAGUUAGAGUGGGCCUAAACGCUCUUUCAUAAGGUGUCGAAACCCUUUUAGGAUAGCUGCGGUGCGGUUGACAAGUACCAAUGCGAAAUAAAUUAGUCAAUAUAUUUAGUACAACCUGUCGAUCGGUUACUGCUAAACGAGAACUCAUAGAACGACUAUAAAUGUAGAAGCGUCAGAUGAAGUUCUUCGGACGUGGGUUCAAAUCCCACCACCUCCACAA